AAUCUUAGCCGGCCUGUACCCAGAGCACGCUCCCCCACCUUCGUGAGAGCAGCCAGCUGCCUGAAGUCCUGAUAGCAAGAGAGCUAGGGAGGGAGGGAGGUGGCCCUCGCUGUGCCUCUCUCUCCUUCUCCCCAGGAAAAUAAGGGAGGAUCACUGUCCGGACAUGUCUGUCCCAGUGAGCCUGUAAAGUACAAAUCAGUCGACCGGCACAAAACUUAACGAGACAAGACAGAGACAGAGACAAGACAGAGAGCGCUCUUACCGGUAGAUGUCAAUAAACCUCUGGACCCUUGAGGGUCCCUGUGGGGUC